UACGUAGGGGGCAAGCGUUGUCCGGAAUCAUUGGGCGUAAAGAGCGCGUAGGCGGUCCGGUAAGUCCGCUGUAAAAGUCAAGGGCUCAACCCUUGAAAGCCGGUGGAUACUGUCGGACUAGAGUCCGGAAGAGGCGAGUGGAAUUCCUGGUGUAGCGGUGAAAUGCGCAGAUAUCGGGAAGAACACCCGUGGCGAAGGCGGUUCUCUGGGACGGUACUGACGCUGAGACGCGAAAGCGUGGGGAGCGAACAGG
rnacentral:rRNA from 1 species